CAAGGGCGUGUGCAGAGUACAUGCUUAGUCAAGGGUUAUGGGGGAAAAGAUACUGAAGGAAGGCAGAGAUGAAAGGGGAAAUUGUGGGUGGGACAGAUAAAUGAGUCCAUAGUUCUUUACAUCUCAUCCGAUUACUUAUUUAUCGAAGGAGGAAAGGGGCAGAGCGAGGGAGAGGAAAACCUAGGAAGACUGCACUGAGCAGGGAGCCAGACACUAGCUGAUUCUUACCACGCUGAAAUCAUGACCAGAGGCAAAACCAAGAGUUGGCUGAUGAACCCACUGCGCCACCCAGUUGUUUCAGUUUCUUGAUGAGAUCCUUUGAAGCAAGGACAUUUUAAAUUUUCAAAAACUGGAAAAUCAAACCAUUGUCCCUCCUUGGAUGCCUGCUAAACAGUUGCACCAAGUUAUUUGUCACUGGCUUCUGAACUGCUUACGUAUCAAUGAAGCAGCCAUAUGGACCUGUCCAAAACAUUAUAUUAAUGUGUGGUUGAAAUCUGAAAAUGACGUUUGAAUUUGAGACAUAAGAUGUCCUGGAAGUCCCAUGACUAAGGUGAUGCAUUUAAUCAUGUGACAAGACUGAUCAUCUAUAAAUUUUGAGCUUCCAGUGAUGACUUCAUCACUCUGGACUGUGUUUCAACCAUGGCCAACUGCCGAGAUGGUGGGACUGGAUGGAUGACUCCAAAGUCGCCACAGGAUGCCACUCAUGACCGGCACUUCCCUUCCCGUGGCAGCUUCUCAAUCUGGGGAAGCUCCGAGCCGUAGCUCCCCGGGGACCCCUGCUUAAACUCUCGGCAGCUGCUCCUCUCGGCAAUGAAUGGCUCCAGUCAGCAGUCGAGCCCAGCAAUUACAGCCUCCUACAGCUGCUCCCCAAGAGUCCCAUUGCUUCUCACAUGCUCAAACAACCUCCAACAGCAUCUUGAUCCCCCAGCAGCUGCACAUUCGAGCGUUUCUUUGUCAGCACCGCUUUAAAGGAUGUCUCGUGGCAAUGCUCUAAUGGAGCCAUUCCCCCAAUCUUAAGAGCUGGUCCUGUUCCCAAACAGCCCAUCCCCCAACCCUCAUUCCACUUUAUGGAACAAGCCAAUGUGGUGUCAGACUUUUAACUGCUUCCUCAGCACUCGCUGGGUCUUGAAGUAGCUGCUCACUCAGUUCUGAGUGAUUUGUCGUGCACACAGAGAGGAAGUCCCAUGCACUUUCCUAUGGCUGACCAUCACUUCCCCCAUGGUAAUCAAACCUCAAGCCUCUCUACCUCCCAACUACCUCACUCCGAAAGUUAGAUGCGACCUCCGUCAAAAGAGGGCCACUUCCUUCAUAGGCACCCUGGACGUCACUGGGAAUCAAUAGUGAGACCAAUCUCAAUUACGUCCUAAUUCAAAAAAGGAAAGAGGAAGGGAUCUGCCUAUACAUGAUUGGUUCAUUGGAGUAGGAAGACGGUGUACAAGUUUCAUCAGAUUUUCAAGUGGGUUUGUGACCACAAAAAAAUGUGUAAGGACCACUGGUCUGGAUGCAAGACAAGUGUGGGUGAGGAAGUCCUGACAGCUUAUGCUGAAGGGAUGGGGAGGGAAUGAAGUUACCUUCCCUAAAGCUAAAGGUUCUUCAGAUGGGAUAAUGAAACAUCAUGAUUGUAAGGAUCAUUUUUAUUUCAGGUGGCUCAUUAUUUGUUUCUAUGUUAAAACUAUAAAGGGUAUAGAUUUUGGGUCUUUUCUUUGCAUUUGACAGCACGUCCAAAGUCGGGUUCCUAUGUAUAAUCUUAAUCUCCCCAACAAGUAUAAAAGGAGCUUAAACAAAACUGAGUGGCAGGCAGUCUGCCGGCCUUGUCCUGAGCUGUUACUGCAUUCAAGCAAUGACUAUUUUGACAUGUGUCGAUUCUGUAAGGCUUUUCCCAGUGCUGACAAUUUUUCUUUGGUUUCAUUUUGUAGCUUAUUGAAAAGAUUUUAAUGUUUACUGUUGCAGAACACCAACUUGAAUUUUCUAAUGCAUGUGGUAUUUUGACAUGCUUUUUUGACCAUCAUAGCUUGUGGGUCUUUCAAGGAAGGCAGGUCUAUGAUCUGUGAUGCUGUGUUAUUGCCCAUCAGUUCAACCUGGAGCAGAAGUGUGGUGUCUUUCUCUUCCGCCAUGUACCUUGUCAAGGCCUUAAUAUUCAUAAAACGAAUGUUAACAAUAUACUAAAGUGUGCUGCACUUUAAAGAAUACAGCUCUAUAAUUGUGGCCACAUGGAAUAAUUGCUCUCCAGAUACUCAUUGGCAGGUCUAAUCUUGAAAUAUCUGUACCUGAAUUCCUUUUCAAAGACCCACUGAGAGAAAUAAUAUUUGUUGAAGUUUGACUAAGAAAGGACAGGUCCUAACAUUUACUUACAGAUUUAGGUAAUAAUCAAAAAGCUAUCUUCCUGUUAUUGAACUGGCAUCUUUGUGAAUUUACUUUCAGGUUUUUAAUUUUUUUCUUUACUCCCCUGCACUUUGGGUUAUAUUAAGAGGUGCUAUAAAGAACAGGUCUCCCAAUGAGUGCGGGGAGUACCGUACAGCUACUGUUGAGAUGCCCCUUACAGCUCACAGUGCUUCUCUGGGCUGAUUCACAGUAGAGAUGCUGCUCCGUCUUGAGUGACAGGACCAGGAUACUAAGAAAUAUAAGUGUUAACUUUGUGGAUCAUGGAAUAAAUAAUUAAUCCUGUUUCUCUCCAUGUACUGGCUGCUACAAAUCUUAGAGCUAACUUGACUCCCCCCACUCUCCGAGCUCGAAAAUUACUUGGAAAUCACGACGUAACUUUUAUGUUCUAACCUCACCACGGACUGCAUCCCACUCUGCUUUGUUAUCAUUGCCUCCAAUUUCUUCUAUUUAUCCUGGUGUACUAACUACUUCUUUAUAAGCCUCUUUAAAUCCUUUCCGAUGUAAAAACAGAAUGUUAAUAAUAAAUGGUGUUUGAAUGUGUUGUCUUUCUGUUUUACAAAGGCCUUCUCCAAACAAUGACUAAGCCAGAGACAAGGGGCUAAUAACACUGUCAUAGUUUGGGAUCUUUGGGAAGCAGACACUGACAU